CCCUCAGGUAGGUUACCCUCCCCCUGACUCCCUCAGGUAGGUUACCCUCUCCCUGACUCCCUCAGGUAGGUUACACUCUCCCUGACUCCCUCAGGUAGGUUACCCUCCCCCUGACUCCCUCAGGUAGGUUACACUCUCCCUGACUCCCUCAGGUAGGUUACACUCUCCCUGACUCCCUCAGGUAGGUUACCCACCCCCUGACUCCCUCAGGUAUGUUACCCUCCCCCUGACUCCCUCAGGUAGGUUACACUCUCCCUGACUCCCUCAGGUAAAUAGCGGGCAUGCAAUUGUAACACUGCAACACACUGCACACUGAAUUGUUCUGAUAUGACACUGAAUCAAGAUAGUUAUUGUCAGUGGCAACCUGUCAUUGCC
ensembl:lncRNA